AACGAACGCUGGCGGCAUGCCUAACACAUGCAAGUCGAACGAGACCUUCGGGUCUAGUGGCGCACGGGUGCGUAACGCGUGGGGACCUGCCCUUAGGUUCGGAAUAACUCCCCGAAAGGGGUGCUAAUACCGGAUAAUGUCUUCGGACCAAAGAUUUAUCGCCUUUGGAUGGGCCCGCGUUGGAUUAGCUAGUUGGUAGGGUAAAAGCCUACCAAGGCGACGAUCCAUAGCUGGUCUGAGAGGAUGAUCAGCCACACUGGGACUGAGACACGGCCCAGACUCCUACGGGAAGCAGCAGUGGGGAAUAUUGGACAAUGGGCGAAAGCCUGAUCCAGCAAUGCCGCGUGAGUGAUGAAGGCCUUAGGGUUGUAAAGCUCUUUUACCCGGGAUGAUAAUGACAGUACCGGGAGAAUAAGCUCCGGCUAACUCCGUG
rnacentral:rRNA from 1 species